AGAGUUUGAUCCUGGCUCAGGAUGAAUGCUGGCGGCGUGCCUUAAGCAUGCAAGUCAAGGGGAGUCGCUUCGGUGACUAACCGGCAGACGGGUGAGUAACGCGUAGGAAUCUACCCCUAGGAGGAGCAUAGCCAUUCGAAAGGAUGGGUAAUUCUCCAUAGUCUCUUCGGAGUAAAGGACUUAACGGUCCGCCAAGGGAGGAGCCUGCGUCCUAUCAGCUUGUUGGUGAGGUAAAAGCUCACCAAGGCUAUGACGGGUAGCUGGACUGAGAGGUCGAUCAGCCACAACUGCACUGAAACACGGGCAGUACACCUACGGGUGGCAGCAACUGGGAAUAUUGCGCAAUGGGGGAAACCCUGACGCAGCGACGCCGCGUGAAGGAAGAAGGUCUAAGGAUUGUAAACUUCUUUUGCUAAGCCGUUCACAGCUUAGAGAAUAAGCCUCUACUAACUACGUGCCAGAAGUCUCGGUAAUACGUAGGAGGCAAGCAUUAUCCGGAUUCAUUGGGCGUAAAGAGUACGUAGGCGGUAUAGUGUGUCAUAUCUUAAAGACCAAGGCUUAACCUCGGAUAUGGAUAUGAAACUACUAUACUAGAGGUUUGACAGGGAUGCUAGAACAGUUAGUGUAGCAGUGAAAUGCGUUGAUAUUAACUGGAAUACCAAAGGCGAAGGCAGGCAUCUGGGCUUUACCUGACGCUGAGGUACGAAAGCUAGGGGAGCGAAACAGAUUAGAUACCUGUGUAGUCCUAGCCGUAAACGAUGUCCGCUAGAUUUGUGUCCUUUUGGGUACGAGUCGCAAGUUAACACGUUAAGCGGACCGCCUGGGGAGUACGGUCGCAAGACUAAAACUCAAAGGAAUUGACGGGGACCCGCACAACCUGUGGAGCGUGUGGUUCAAUUCGAGACAAAACGAAAAACCUCACCAGGGUUUGACAUAUUACCGUUUAUGCACCUCGAAACAGGAGCAGAUCCUUUUUGGAUGGUAAUACAGGUACUGCAUGGCUGUCGUCAGCUCGUGCCGUGAGGUGUUCCCUUAAGUGGGGAAACGAGCGCAACCCCCGCCAAAUGUUAAAUGAUCAUUUGGGACUACUCCAUGUUUUGCAUGGGGGGGAAGGAGGGGAAGACGUCAAGUCAGCACGGCCCUUAUACCCUGGGCUACACACACACUACAAUGGCGAAAAACAACGUGUUGCUAGCCAGUGAUGGUCGGCUAAUCACUCAAAUUUCGUCUCAGUUCGGAUUGGAGUCUGAAAUUCGACUCCAUGAAGCCGGAAUAGGUAGUAAUCGCGGAUCUGCAAGCCGCGGUGAAUACGUUCUCGGGUCUUGUACACACCGCCCGUCAAGGCAGCAAAGUCGGAAGCUAUCGAACUGCGUGAAUGCGUAGGAGAUAGAGGUCGGCGAUGAAGCUUAAGUCGUAACAAGGUAUCCCUAGCUGAAGCUGCGGCUGGAUCACCUCCUU
rnacentral:rRNA from 1 species